rnacentral:lncRNA from 1 species
AACCUGAUUCCCCCACAAAGUCAUUCUAUAUCCCAGGGUCCUCUUUCAUUCUCCCCAUAACAGUAACCUCAAGCAGAGGCUAUUACUAUACCAUUUUUUUUUUCGAGAUUGUGUAUCGCUCUGUCACCCACACUGGAGUGGAGUAGCAUGACCUUGUCUCACUGCAGCCUCCACCUCCCGAGCUUAAGCAAUCCUCUCACCUCUGCCUCCCAGUUAGCUGUGUCCACAGGCACACCCAGCUAUU